AGCCAUAUCACGUUGAAACACCACUUCACGUACGAUCACCGAAGUUAAGCAACAUCGAAGCUGGUCAGUACAUAGAUGCAUGACCGCUUGAGAAUACCAGGUGU